rnacentral:rRNA from 1 species
AUUGAACGCUGGCGGCAUGCCUUACACAUGCAAGUCGAACGGUAACAGGUCUUCGGAUGCUGACGAGUGGCGAACGGGUGAGUGAUACAUCGGAACGUGCCUAGUAGUGGGGGAUAACUACUCGAAAGAGUGGCUAAUACCGCAUGAGAUCUACGGAUGAAAGCAGGGGAUCGCAAGACCUUGUGCUACUAGAGCGGCCGAUGGCAGAUUAGGUAGUUGGUGGGAUAAAAGCUUACCAAGCCGACGAUCUGUAGCUGGUCUGAGAGGACGAUCAGCCACACUGGGACUGAGACACGGCCCAGACUCCUACGGGAGGCAGCAGUGGGGAAUUUUGGACAAUGGGCGCAAGCCUGCUCCAGCAAUGCCGCGUGCAGGAUGAAGGCCUUCGGGUUGUAAACUGCUUUUGUACGGAACGAAAGGCCCUGGGUUAAUACCCUGGGGUCAUGACGGUACCGUAAGAAUAAGCACCGGCUAACUACGUGCCAGCCGCCGCCGUAACAC